GACGAACGCUGGCGGCGUGCUUAACACAUGCAAGUCGAACGGAAAGGCCCUGCUUUUGUGGGGAGCUCGAGUGGCGAACGGGUGAGUAACACGUGUGUAACCUGCCCUUGACAUUGGGAUAACUUCUGGAAACUGGGGCUCAUAUCGCACAGCAGCUCCUGCUGCAUAGGGGUGAUGGGUAAGUUUCGGUGUUUGGGGAUGGACUCGCGGUUUAUCAGUUUGUUGGUGAGGUAGUGGCUUACCAAGUCUUUGACGGGUAGCUGGCCUGAGAGUGUGACCAGCCUCAAUGGUACUGAGAAACCACCCAAACUGAUACGGCGGGCAGCGGUGGGGAAUAGUGCAAAAAAAGCGGAAGCCGAAAGGAACAGCGCCGCGUCCGAGAUGACUGCCGUUGGGUUAGAAACCGGUUUCGAGUGUGACGAGGAGUGAGUGACGGUAAUGGGUAAAAAAGCACCGGCUAACUACGUG
rnacentral:rRNA from 1 species